UGGGGAAUAUUGCACAAUGGGCGCAAGCCUGAUGCAGCCAUGCCGCGUGUGUGAAGAAGGCCUUCGGGUUGUAAAGCACUUUCAGCGAGGAGGAAGGUGGUGAACUUAAUACGUUCAUCAAUUGACGUUACUCGCAGAAGAAGCACCGGCUAACUCCGUGCCAGCAGCCGCGGUAAUACGGAGGGUGCAAGCGUUAAUCGGAAUUACUGGGCGUAAAGCGCACGCAGGCGGUUUGUUAAGUCAGAUGUGAAAUCCCCGGGCUCAACCUGGGAACUGCAUUUGAAACUGGCAAGCUAGAGUCUCGUAGAGGGGGGUAGAAUUCCAGGUGUAGCGGUGAAAUGCGUAGAGAUCUGGAGGAAUACCGGUGGCGAAGGCGGCCCCCCUGGACGAAGACUGACGCUCAGGUGCGAAAAGGCGUGGGGAGCAAACAGGAUUAGAUACCCCUGGUAGUCCAGCGCUGUAAAACGAUGUCGGUUUUGGAGGUUGUGCCCUUGAGGCGUGGCUUCCGGAGCUAACGCGUUAAAUCGAGCCGCCUGGGGGAGUACGGCCGCAAGGUUGAAACUCAAAUGAAUUGACGGGGGUCAUAGCUGUUUU
rnacentral:rRNA from 1 species